rnacentral:rRNA from 1 species
UACGAAGGGGGCUAGCGUUGUUCAGAUUUACUGGGCGUAAAGCGCACGUAGGCGGAUCGUUAAGUCAGGGGUGAAAUCCUGGAGCUCAACUCCAGAACUGCCUUUGAUACUGGCGAUCUUGAGUCCGGAAGAGGUGAGUGGAACUCCUAGUGUAGAGGUGGAAUUCGUAGAUAUUAGGAAGAACACCAGUGGCGAAGGCGGCUCACUGGUCCGGUACUGACGCUGAGGUGCGAAAGCGUGGGGAGCAAACAGG